rnacentral:tRNA from 1 species
UGGCGAAUCGUCCAAUGGCAGGACAGCGGUCUCUGGAUCCGCUAAUCGGGGUUCGACUCCCUGUUCGCCAG